ensembl:snRNA U6 U6 spliceosomal RNA
UUGUUUCAGUAGCUCAUAUAUUAAAAUUUGAACACCACAGAGAAGAUUAGCAUUGUCCCUCUGCAAGGAUGACAGAUUCGGCACUGAGGAUGUUACUUCUUCA